AGGGAGUUUGAUCCUGGCUCAGGAUGAACGCUAGCGACAGGCCUAACACAUGCAAGUCGAGCGGCAGCACCUCGGGUGGCGAGCGGCGCACGGGUGAGUAACGCGUAUGUAACCUGCCCAUGAGUGGGGGAUAGCCCGGUGAAAACCGGAUUAAUACCCCAUGACACCAUUUUCUGACAUCAUUUAAUGGUUAAAGAUUCAUUGCUCAUGGAUGGACAUGCGUUGGAUUAGCUGGUUGGCGGGGCAACGGCCCACCAAGGCGACGAUCCAUAGGGGUUCUGAGAGGAAGGUCCCCCACAUUGGUACUGAGACACGGACCAAACUCCUACGGGAGGCAGCAGUGAGGAAUAUUGGUCAAUGGGCGGAAGCCUGAACCAGCCAAGUCGCGUGAAGGAUGAAGGUAUUAUGUAUUGUAAACUUCUUUAGCUGUGGAGAAAUAAGGUGGUCGAGACCACCGAUGCUAGUACACAGAGAAUAAGGAUCGGCUAACUCCGUGCCAGCAGCCGCGGUAAUACGGAGGAUCCGAGCGUUAUCCGGAUUCAUUGGGUUUAAAGGGUGCGCAGGCGGUGCCUUAAGUCAGCGGUAAAAUCGUGGGGCUCAACCCCAUCCCGCCGUUGAUACUGGGGCACUUGAUUACGGUCGAGGCAGGCGGAAUUCGUCGUGUAGCGGUGAAAUGCAUAGAUAUGACGAAGAACACCGAUUGCGUAGGCAGCCUACCAGGCCGUUAAUGACGCUCAUGCACGAAAGUGCGGGGAUCGAACAGGAUUAGAUACCCUGGUAGUCCCCU
rnacentral:rRNA from 1 species